AUCGAUUGAAACAAAUGUUUUGACAUCACAGUGAAUUCCCAGUUUGUGGCCAAAUCGAUUAUGCGUAUUUGUAAAUCGAUUUAUUCUGAAAAGUGCUUUAAAAGAAUCGAUUGGUAAAUCGAUUAGCUUAUAUAGUUUCAAGAUUAAAGAAAAACAAGACUCGCGAUAAUCGAUUGGCAAAUCGUUAAUCUGUGUGUAACAAUACUUUGAAACAAAACGAAAGCUAGAAAUCCAGCUAGAAACUGGUGGCUACUUUCUUGGGUGAGAGGUCUCAACAAGAAAGAGUCGUACUUUGAUUUUGUGUUAGACUGCUGAGUGUCUACAAGGAUCAAAGGGUUGAUAGAAAGCAACACCCCGUUUUUCUAAGCGAGGGUGUAUUUUUUUUUUCAAAAGAAUUAAAAUAAAACAGAGAAUUAAAUAAGGUAAAAUACAUUUGGAUAAAUAUUUAAGUCGUAAUACAACGACAAUUAAGUCAACAGAAUUUACAAGCAGCGGAAUAGUUUUUGAAAUACGAAUCCAAAGUAUUUACACGUCAAAAGUUGGUACAUGUAACCCAUCGAAAAUAACAUGUCAAGCUGACAAUAUUAGUAUAGGAGAGGUCUCAUCAAGAAAGAGUCGUACUUUGAUUUUGUGUUAGACUGCCGAGUGUCUACAAGGAUCAAAGGGUUGAUAGAAAGCCAGCUAGAAACUGGUGGCUACUUUCUUGGGUGAGAGGGCUCAACAAGAAAGAGUCGCACUGUGAUUCUGUGUUAGACUGCCGAGUGUCUACAAG
rnacentral:lncRNA from 1 species